ACAGAGGUGGCUAGCGUUGUUCGGUAUUACUGGGCUUAAAGCGUGUGUAGGCGGAAGCGUAAGCAUUUUGUGAAAUCCCCCGGCUCAACCGGGGAAUCGCUUGAUGUACUGCGUUUCUUGAGGCAGGUAGGGGUGCGAGGAACUCUUGGUGGAGCGGUGAAAUGCGUAGAUAUCAGGAGGAACGCCGGUGGUGAAGGCGGCGCACUGGGCCUGUCCUGACGCUGAGACACGAAAGCGUGGGGAGCAAACAG
rnacentral:rRNA from 1 species